rnacentral:rRNA from 1 species
AUUGAACGCUGGCGGCAUGCCUUACACAUGCAAGUCGAACGUGAAAGGGGGGCAACCCCCGAGUAGAGUGGCGGACGGGUGAGUAACACAUCGGAACGUACCCAGUAGUGGGGGACAACCUCGAAGAAAUCGAGGCUAAUACCGCAUACGACCCACGGGUGAAAGCGGGGGACCGCAAGGCCUCGCGCUAUUGGAGCGGCCGAUGUCCGAUUAGCUUGUUGGCGGGGUAAGAGCCCACCAAGGCGACGAUCGGUAGCUGGUCUGAGAGGAUGAUCAGCCACACUGGGACUGAGACACGGCCCAGACUCCUACGGGAGGCAGCAGGUGGGGAAUUUUGGACAAUGGGGGCAACCCUGAUCCAGCCAUGCCGCGUGUGUG